ACAGCAAAUCCCUUUAGCUCGAGCUGACAUGAACUGACUUAUCACUGAGGGAAGUUUCAGGAAAUGCAACAGGUGGAGAAGCCGAGGGAAUGAACCGUGUGUCCUCUCGUUAGCGUCCCGGGCUAGCUGCUGAGAGUACUUCAAGGUGCCUGUGGGAGUCGGAUUGGGAAACAACUGCGCACUCUUUCACACGGUCAGGUGCCACCAUGGAUGACAGCCUGAAUGACUCCAAUGUAAAGGUCGCUGUUCGUGUGCGACCAAUGAACAGGAGAG